CACAACUAAAGAUCCUGCACACCACAACAAAGAUCCUGUGUGCCGCAACUAAAGACCUGGUGGAGCCAAAUAAAUAAAUAUUAAAAAAAAAAUACUAGUAGAGAAAAAGGAGACUCCAGGAGCAUUUAACUAGAUGAUACAGCUUCUUCUACAUCAAAGGAAGGCCUGGCCUCUUGGUUAAAUCAUGUUUCCUUAAGUGCAUUUUGUACAUAUUAUUACUCUAAGAUGCUUCAUUAACAAACAAGAAUCUUUGUUCAGGUAAAUUUGUGAAGUACGAUAGCUGAUGACAUCUGGAACACACUUUGGACCACGCUGGGCGCGGUAGGCUGCAUAAUGCCCCCCACCAGCUAUGUCACAUCUUAAGUUUCGGGACCUGUGAAUAUUUUAUGGCAAAAGGACACUUUGCAGAUAUGAUUAUGUUAAGGAUCUUGAGAUAAGAGAUUAUUAUGGACCAUCUGGUGGGCCCUCAAUGCUAUCGUAAGUGUCCAUAUAAGAGGGAAGCAGAGGGGGAUCUGACCACACAGAGAAACAAGGCAAUGGAAGCAGAGACUUGAUGCUAAGCUGCUGCUGCUAAACAAAGAGGAGGAGCCAUGAGCCACAGAAUGCAGCUCUAGAGACUGGAAAAGGAGGGGAAAGAUUCUCUCCUAGAGCCUACAGAGGGAGCAUGCGCUGCCAACACCCUGGUUUUGGCCCAGUGAAACCAUUUUGGACUUCUGACCUCCAGAACUACAAGGUAAUAAAUGUGUUGUUUUAAAGUCCCCACAUUCGUGGUAAUUCGUUACAGCAGUCAUACGGAAUGAAUACAAUGAGUUAAGGUCUAGGAAUCGGGGAAGGAGAGCAGGAAGCGUAAGAGUUAAAGUCCCACAUAGCUGGAUUGGAACUCUACUCUUCAACUUACUGACUUGGCUGUGGUCCAGCCUUCUCCAAUUCUCAGCUUCUUCACCUGAAAAUUGGGGCUAACGACUUCCUCAUGUUUAGUGUGAGUAUUCAAUGAGAAGGGAAGUAGCAGAUGGAUCGCAGGGAGUAUUCAAAUGUUGGUUCCCUUUCCCUGGCUGUUUUCUGUUCAGAGGAACUGCCAGAAACUUGUCUUCUCCCAGGCGGCUCCUACUGUGGAAGUCACACAAGGACCCAGGGUGACCCCCGAAGACCCAGGACAGCAGCACUCCUGGUUUUACACCACCAGCUUUCCUGGAUCUCCAGCUUAUGGAGAGCAGACUGUGGGCCUUCGCAGCCGCCAUAAUCACGGAAGAUAAGAGGGCAAGAUGAGGAUCACUGCAACAGUCUGAGAAGUCACCAUGAUCUGACAGCCCUUUAAGGACAGGCCCAGUUUAUCUGGGCUGGGAAGAACAUGGAGCCCAGAAGUCUGAAUGGGCCACUGAAAGUUCAUUACAGCAACAGAAGCCUGCCC